rnacentral:sRNA from 1 species
CCUAGCCCGAAAGGGCGGGCAUGCUAAAGUGUUUUCAAAAGGUCUUCCCAAUCCUCUGCUUUAGACAGCUCGGACCUUAGAUAGAAGAACACAACGGAUCCUCCAGUGACUGACGACCCAAAGGACGGAUGAUGUCACAGUCAUCUGGAUCAGGAGAUGAGAAUGAUGAUGAGGCUACUACCUCUAAAGACGAUGGCCUACUGAACAUCAGUCACACAGCAUGGUAAUAUGGUUGUUCCAACGUAUCUGCAGGGAACUGGCUCCAGGAACCCUGCAGAUACCAAAAUUGGUGCAUAUUCAACUCCCACAGUCAGCUCUGCGGAACCCACAGAUACAAAAAGUUGGCCUUCCCUUUACAGGUUUCCAAUCCUGCAAAUCCUGUAUUUUCCAUUCCUGCUUGAUUGCUGAUGUGGAACCCGCCCAUGCAGAGGGCCGACUGUAUUUAUUGAAAAAAUAUGUGUAUAAAUGGACCAUCACAGUUUAAACCCCAAUUGUUCAAGGGUCACCUGUAAACAGUUGCCUAAAUGAGCCAUGAUCUUUCUCAUGCCUCCAUGUCUUUGCACACACUGUUCCCCUUUUCAAGUAAUCCAUAGAUCUCUAGAUCUCACUGUCCUGAUACUACAAAUUAAGUUUGGAUUUGUAUGAUUAAUAUACAGGUUACAACGUUAAGUCCCCAUAUUGUGGACCAUAGAGAGUCCAUUCUUCCACCAGGUUGGAGGGUGCAUCCCCCGCCCUUGAGUAAUUUCCAGAAAUCCACAAGGUAUGCUUAAAUGUUACAAAAAUCAAUCCUAGUUGUCAUUUGUUAUCUCUGCCAGCUAUUCUUUCUGCAUACUGUCAUGGUCUGCCUUCAAUAAGUCACCACUUCCUGUCUUGAAACUUUUUUUUAAAAAACCUUUUAGUUUUUUUAAUUUUAAAAAUUUCUGCAAACACUAUGGCGACUUGUGUAAUUUUAAUACAUACAAAAGAUGUAUGAUGUGUAAUUUAUGGAGCAUAAUUAUUAAAUAAACAUCCAGGAAUCUA